UUUUUUUUGCAAUUGGGGUGCGAAACAAUAAUUACUCUAAUAUAUCAACCUAGAUCAUUCUAGUAUUUAUAUCACUAUAGCCUUCCUCUCUUAGCCAUCAUAAUUCUUAUUCUAACAUUCCUUCUAAUAUCAAUAUUUUUUUAGAACCUACUAAUUCUUUCCUUCCUUUUCUUUAACAAGCUGUAUCAACAUUUAUUCUACUGGAUUCUAACACCUUUUAUUGACAUGCUUGCAACCUUAAUUAGAAUUCUAUCUUCUAUUUGCAUAAUAUUACUAUAAUCAACAUAUACUUAGCUCCUUUCAGAAAUAAUGACUUGGUUCUUAUUCACUACAUAUCUUCUUCAUGAUCCACUGACUACUAGCUUUCAAAUUUCUAAACAAGUAAUAAUAUUAGAUCGAAUCAAUCGUUAAAUUUUGUCACCACAUAUGUUAAUGUUCAAUAGACCUUUAGUCCUCUUGUCUGUAUCAUUAGUUGCCAAUCAAAAUUUUAAACACUUAUUAUUCAACCUAUGUGCCCUUAAAGAAAUUCUUAUUAAGAUGAUUUCAAUCUUUUAUAACUACCUGCAUAUUUAUACUAUAACUUAUGCAAAGAAUUGUACAAAUAGUAGAAUUUAACUUAAACUUAGUAUGUCAU
rnacentral:lncRNA from 1 species